GGGCCCGCACAAGCAGCGGAGCAUGUGGUUUAAUUCGAAGCAACGCGAAGAACCUUACCCAGACUUGACAUCUCCUGAAUUAAUCGUAAUGGAUGAAAUCCCUUCGGGGACAGGAAGACAGGUGGUGCAUGGUUGUCGUCAGCUCGUGUCGUGAGAUGUUGGGUUAAGUCCCGCAACGAGCGCAACCCUUAUCAUUAGUUGCUAACAUUAAGUUGAGCACUCUAGUGAGACUGCCCGGGUUAACCGGGAGGAAGGUGGGGAUGACGUCAAAUCAUCAUGCCCCUUAUGUCUGGGGCUACACACGUGCUACAAUGGUGGGAACAAAGAGAUGCAAGACCGCAAGGUGGAGCCAAACUCAAAAACCCAUCCCAGUUCGGAUUGUAGGCUGAAACUCGCCUACAUGAAGCUGGAGUUGCUAGUAAUCGCGAAUCAGAAUGUCGCGGUGAAUACGUUCCCGGGCCUUGUACACACCGCCCGUCACACCAUGAGAGUCGGCAACACCCGAAGCCCGUGAGGUAACCUUUUGGAACCAGCGGUCGAAGGUGGGGUUGAUAAUUGGGGUGAAGUCGUAACAAGGUAGCCGUAGGAGAACCUGCGGCUGGAUCAC
rnacentral:rRNA from 1 species